rfam:Apaloderma vittatum contig26709, whole genome shotgun sequence.
UAGCUCAGUUGGUUGAGCGUGAUGCUGAUAACACCAAGGUCGCAGGUUCGAUUCCUGU